AUACGUAGGUGACAAGCGUUAUCCGGAUUUACUGGGCGUAAAGGGCGUGUAGGCGGUCUUGCAAGUCAGAAGUGAAAUUCCUGAGCUCAACUCGGGCGCUGCUUCUGAAACUGCAGGACUUGAGUGCUGGAGGGGAUAGCGGAAUUCCUAGUGGAGCGGUAAAAUGCGCAGAUAUUAGGAAGAACACCGGUGGCGAAGGCGGCUAUCUGGACAGUAACUGACGCUGAGGCGCGAAAGCGUGGGGAGCAAACAGGAUUAGAUACCCUGGUAGUCCACACUGUAAACGAUGAAUGCUAGGUGUAGGGGGUAUCGACCCCUUCUGUGCCGCAGUCAACACAAUAAGCAUUCCGCCUGGGGAGUACGGCCGCAAGUAUGAAACUCAAAUGAAUUGGCGGGG
rnacentral:rRNA from 1 species